rnacentral:rRNA from 1 species
GAUGAACGCUGGCGGCGUGCCUAAUACAUGCAAGUCGAGCGAACAGACGAGGAGCUUGCUCCUCUGACGUUAGCGGCGGACGGGUGAGUAACACGUGGAUAACCUACCUAUAAGACUGGGAUAACUUCGGGAAACCGGAGCUAAUACCGGAUAAUAUAUUGAACCGCAUGGUUCAAUAGUGAAAGACGGUUUUGCUGUCACUUAUAGAUGGAUCCGCGCCGCAUUAGCUAGUUGGUAAGGUAACGGCUUACCAAGGCAACGAUGCGUAGCCGACCUGAGAGGGUGAUCGGCCACACUGGAACUGAGACACGGUCCAGACUCCUACGGGAGGCAGCAGUAGGAAAUCUUCCGCAAAGGGCGAAAGCUUGACGGAGCAACGCCGCGUGAGUGAUGAAGGUCUUCGGAUCGUAAAACUCUGUUAUUAGGGAAGAACAAAUGUGUAAGUAACUAUGCACGUCUUGACGGUACCUAAUCAGAAAGCCACGGCUAACUACGUG